GAUGAACGCUGGCGGCGUGCCUAAUACAUGCAAGUCGAGCGAAUGGAUUAAGAGCUUGCUCUUAUGAAGUUAGCGGCGGACGGGUGAGUAACACGUGGGUAACCUGCCCAUAAGACUGGGAUAACUCCGGGAAACCGGGGCUAAUACCGGAUAACAUUUUGAACCGCAUGGUUCGAAAUUGAAAGGCGGCUUCGGCUGUCACUUAUGGAUGGACCCGCGUCGCAUUAGCUAGUUGGUGAGGUAACGGCUCACCAAGGCAGCGAUGCGUGGCCGACAUGACAGGGUGAUCGGCCACACUGGGACUGAGACACGGCCCAGACUCCUACGGGAGGCAGCAGUAGGGAAUCUUCCGCAAUGGACGAAAGUCUGACGGAGCAACGCCGCGUGAGUGAUGAAGGCUUUCGGGUCGUAAAACUCUGUUGUUAGGGAAGAACAAGUGCUAGUUGAAUAAGCUGGCACCUUGACGGUACCUAACUAGAUAGCCACGGCUAACUACGUGCCAGCCGCCGCAGUAA
rnacentral:rRNA from 1 species